rnacentral:rRNA from 1 species
CAGGCCUAACACAUGCAAGUCGAACGCCCCGCAAGGGGAGUGGCAGACGGGUGAGUAACACGUGGGAACGUACCCUUUGGUUCGGAACAACCCUGGGAAACUAGGGCUAAUACCGGAUACGCGCGAGAGCGGAAAGGUUUACCGCCGAAGGAUCGGCCCGCGUCUGAUUAGCUAGUUGGUGAGGUAACGGCUCACCAAGGCGACGAUCAGUAGCUGGUCUGAGAGGAUGAUCAGCCACAUUGGGACUGAGACACGGCCCAAACUCCUACGGGAGGCAGCAGUGGGGAAUAUUGGACAAUGGGCGCAAGCCUGAUCCAGCCAUGCCGCGUGAGUGAUGAAGGCCUUAGGGUUGUAAAGCUCUUUUACCCGGGAUGAUAAUGACAGUACCGGGAGAAUAAGCUCCGGCUAACUCCGUGCCAGCAGCCGCGGUAAU